GCGGACGUGGUGGAAUUGGUAGACACACUGGAUUUAGGUUCCAGCGGCGCAAGCUGUAAGAGUUCGAGUCUCUUCGUCCGCACCA
rnacentral:tRNA from 4 species